rnacentral:lncRNA from 1 species
UGAUGACAUUGGGAAAUAUAUCCUUUGUUAACACAGAAUCCAGAUGGAGAAAGUGAGAAUUACUGGUUGUAGGAGACCGUGAUGGACGUCAAGUGUUGACAGACUUGAAGCCUCGUGGCUGUUGUCCUGCUUUCCAGGCUGCACUGACCAACACCACAC